rnacentral:rRNA from 1 species
UGGGGAAUUUUGGACAAUGGGCGCAAGCCUGAUCCAGCCAUGCCGCGUGCAGGAAGAAGGCCUUCGGGUUGUAAACUGCUUUUGUCAGGGAAGAAAUCUUCUGGGCUAAUACCCUGGAAGGCUGACGGUACCUGAAGAAUAAGCACCGGCUAACUACGUG